ACACACACACUCUCUCUUUCUCAUUCUCCUUUCCCUCCUCUCCAUCUCCCUAUUGCAUUGUGUCUGACUGAUUUUCAGAGCACCUUCGCUGUUUCCCCCUUCUCGUUCCCUUCUCAUAAAAUAUCUAGACAGGAAGGAGGUGGCUGCAGAGGCUGAACAAUCUCAUAUUCUGCCUGCAAUGUCAUCGUUUCUUUCCCCCAUUUUAGGGGGCUGAAGUUGCCCAGCAAGGGAUGCAGAGGAGCUGGAAAAGAAGGGGGGAGCUCUCCAGAGGCAGCUGCGGUCAGGGGCAGGGACUGCCGCCAGAUGUGCCUGCCUUUCUGGGCUUUGAUGAGAAAGGGGCAGCAGGAGGAAAUAUUGGGAGACAAAAGCCCCGGUUUAAAUGAUCAUUUUCUUUAUUUAACAUGGCAGCAGACACUCUCUGCGUAGGAUCAUCAUGCCGAGCAUAAACUGGACUUUCCCACUUGCCUGGCAGGAGUCACACAGAUCCCUGCGUGCUAAAUGAACAUCUGAGGUUUGAGAUGGGGCCCAAGAUGCUUUUCUGACAAGUUUCCUGGUGAUGCAAUGUUGCUGUUGGGGAA
rnacentral:lncRNA from 1 species